rnacentral:rRNA from 1 species
CCUACGGGCGGCAGCAGGGAGGAAUAUUGGUCAAUGGGCGGAAGCCUGAACCAGCCAAGUAGCGUGCAGGAUGACGGCCCUACGGGUUGUAAACUGCUUUUAUACGGGAAUAACGCGCCGUACGUGUAGGGCUUUGCAUGGACCGUAUGAAUAAGGACCGGCUAAUUCCGUGCCAGCAGCCGCGGUAAUACGGAAGGUCCGGGCGUUAUCCGGAUUUAUUGGGUUUAAAGGGAGCGUAGGCAGCAUGUCAAGCGUGCGGUGAAAUGUCCGGGCUCAACCCGGGCCUUGCAGCGCGAACGGGCGUGCUUGCGUCCGCGGCACGCCGGCGGCUUUCGUCGUGUAGCGG